UGGUCCCUACGGAGGCAGCAGUGGGGAAUAUUGGGCAAUGGGCGCAAGCCUGACCCAGCAACGCCGCGUGAAGGAAGAAGGCUUUCGGGUUGUAAACUUCUUUUCUCGGGGACGAAGAAGGUGACGGUACCUGAGGAAUAAGCCACGGCUAACUACGUGCCAGCAGCCGCGGUAAUACGUAGGUGGCAAGCGUUAUCCGGAUUUAUUGGGUGUAAAGGGCGUGUAGGCGGGAGCGCAAGUCAGAUGUGAAAACUCAGGGCUCAACCCUGAGCCUGCAUUUGAAACUGUGUUUCUUGAG
rnacentral:rRNA from 1 species